UACGGUCAUAACACAUUGAAACAUCGGUUCCCGUACGAUUACUGAAUUUAAGCAACGUCGAGCCUAAUCAGUAUCUAGAUGGGUGACCGAUUGGGAAUACCAGGUCUU